GAUGAAGAACGCAGCGAAAUGCGAUACGUAAUGUGAAUUGCAGAAUUCAGUGAAUCAUCGAGUCUUUGAACGCACAUUGCGCCCCCUGGUAUUCCGGGGGGCAUGCCUGUCCGAGCGUCAUUGCUGCCCUCAAGCACGGCUUGUGUGUUGGGCCUCCGUCCACCUCCCGGGGGACGGGCCCGAAAGGCAGCGGCGGCACCGCGUCCGGUCCUCGAGCGUAUGGGGCUUCGUCACCCGCUCUUGUAGGCCCGGCCGGCGCUUGCCGACACAUCAAUCUUUUUUCCAGGUUGACCUCGGAUCAGGUAGGGAUACCCGCUGAACUUAAGCAUAUCAAUAAGCGGAGGA
rnacentral:misc_RNA from 1 species